rnacentral:snoRNA from 1 species
CCCAGCUGUGGGCAACUGCCUAGGUUGCCAUGUGUCUAGGCAAGUAUUACACUGCUGGGAAAAAGCAACCAAUAGCUAAUGGGCAUU